rnacentral:rRNA from 1 species
UCCGGUGACUAUAACGGAGAGGAUCCACCUGUUCCCAUUCCGAACACAGAAGUUAAGCUCUCCAGUGCCGAAGAUACUUGGCUGGACACGGCCUGGGAAAAUAGGUCGUUGCCGGAU